rnacentral:rRNA from 1 species
UACGUAGGGCGCAAGCGUUGUCCGGAAUUAUUGGGCGUAAAGAGCUCGUAGGCGGCUUGUCACGUCUGCUGUGAAAUCCCGGGGCUCAACCCCGGGCGUGCAGUGGAUACGGGCUGGCUAGAGGCAGGCAGGGGAGAACGGAAUUCCCGGUGUAGCGGUGAAAUGCGCAGAUAUCAGGAGGAACACCAAUGGCGAAGGCAGCACUCUGGGACGGUACUGACGCUGAGACGCGAAAGCGUGGGGAGCAAACAGG